rnacentral:rRNA from 1 species
UGGGGAAUUUUCCGCAAUGGGCGCAAGCCUGACGGAGCAACGCCGCGUGAAUGAAGAAGGCCUUCGGGUUGUAAAGUUCUGUCAUAAGGGAAGAAUGAUCUAUAUGUAAAUAAUGUAUAGAUGUGACGGUACCUUAGGAGGAAGCCACGGCUAACUACGUGCCAGCAGCCGCGGUAAUACGUAGGUGGCGAGCGUUGUCCGGAAUUACUGGGCGUAAAGGGCGUGUAGGCGGACGCUUAAGUCAGAUGUGAAAGCCCCGGGCUUAACUUGGGGAUUGCAUUUGAUACUGGGUGUCUUGAGGACAGGAGAGGAAAGCGGAAUUCCUAGUGUAGCGGUGAAAUGCGUAGAUAUUAGGAGGAACACCAGUGGCGAAGGCGGCUUUCUGGCCUGUAACUGACGCUGAGGCGCGAAAGCGUGGGGAGCGAACGGG